AUACUUCAAAGCCCACUAGAGAACGCCCAUAAAACACAGACCCUCUGCAGCAAGCAGGGAGUGAUUUAAAUCCACUUGGAAUUUCUAGGGGGGAAGGAGUAAGACUUAUCUACCCUGUUCAGAGCCUCAUGAAUAAUUUCACCUGACAUGGGACACUGAACCAGCAGAAAUCUGGGAUGUACAAAGGAAAACAGGUUUCCAACUAAUCUUUGUUACUCCUCUCAUUCCUAGGUGGGGAACCCGGGUGGGUGAAGCCUAGACAGGAAGUUCACCAUUUUUAGACACAUUAUAUUUUGUUCCUUGUGAGAGAAGUGUUAGAUGGGAAACACAUUUUCUGGCAGCUGAAACCUGGCUGGCUGAGUUGGCUCAGGGAAAAAGCCAUGCACCCACGUACUACCAGGAUGUAAAAGUCAUUUGCAACUCCCUCUAGGCUGGUAGAGGCAGUGAGAGACGGGCCUUGAAAUAGACAUCUAAGCCCGGAACUGCAAAGGUGGUGGCUGUCACAGUUCCUCUAAAACCCUGCUUGCACCCCUCCCCGCUUCGCCUACCUCCACACUGCAGAUCCACUGGCCUCCCGCACUGGGAGAGGGUUUUUCCGUGUAUCCUCAUUGUUCUGGACAGAGAGGGGGUGGAGGACGGUUGCCUGAACCUUCUCGAAGAUCCUAGGGGGGUCUCCGCCCCACAGGACUCACCUUUGCCCUUUUAGGAGCACAGCCUUUCCACCCAGGAGCCGGCCGCGCUGCUCUCCCCGCGACGGCCGCAGGGGGGCGGGAUAGAGGGACCGAGGAACCCGCCCGCGGAGGAGCCGGGCGCGCGCGGAGUGCGCGGCUGGCGGGGAACAGCGCGCGCUCAGAGGCCCGGAGUCCUGGGAGUGGCUGCGCUGGGCACGAUCGGGGGCCAAGGGGGCUGUGCGGGCGAGGGGCCCAGCCGCCCGGAGAGCCAGGGUACAAUGACUGCAGCCUCUGAGAGGAAGGCCGCCCUAGGAAGGAAGGUGGCGGGCUGUCUUCAGGGGCAAACCUGCCCUCCAGUUUCACAUGGGACCUCGGAGCCCCCCAGGUCGAUUCCAAGUGCCUUUCGCUCAGGG
rnacentral:lncRNA from 1 species